GACUCUCGAGACUUCGAUUUCUCCGCCUCCCGCCACCGUCCCCCUCAGCCUCCGCCGACUAACCGAUGGCAUCAGAAUCGACGAUCGACGUGCUGCUGGCGAUCCUCUCCGGCAAGCAGGUGGGGACGAUCGGUGAGAGCCGGCAGAUCAUGACGAUCCUCUCCACCGCCGUCGCCGUGCUGGUCGGCUGCGCGGUCUUAUUCGUGUGGCGGCGAUCGACCGGUAAGGGCUCGAGUCGGGCUGUAGAGCCGCCGAGGCCGCUAGUUGUGAAGACGAAGUUUGACCCGGAGGUCGACGAUGGGAAGGAGAAGGUCACGGUCUUCUUCGGCACUCAGACCGGCACCGCCGAGGGUUUCGCCAAGUCAUUUGCGGACGAAGCUAAGGCGCGGUAUGAGAAAGCAACUUUCAGAGUCAUCGAUCUGGAUGAUUAUGCGGCGGAGGAUGAGGAAUAUGAGGAGAAGUUAAAGAAAGAGAAGUUUGCUUUGUUCUUUUUGGCAACGUAUGGAGAUGGUGAGCCGACGGAUAAUGCG
rnacentral:misc_RNA from 1 species